UACGAAGGGGGCUAGCGUUGCUCGGAAUCACUGGGCGUAAAGGGUGCGUAGGCGGGUCUUUAAGUCAGGGGUGAAAUCCCCGAGCUCAACUCGGGAACUGCGUCCGAUACUGGUGGGCUUGAAUCCGGGAGAGGGAUGCGGAAUUCCAGGUGUAGCGGUGAAAUGCGUAGAUAUCUGGAGGAACACCGGUGGCGAAGGCGGCAUCCUGGACCGGCAUUGACGCUGAGGCGCGAAAGCUAGGGGAGCAAACGGG
rnacentral:rRNA from 1 species